UGAGGAAUAUUGGUCAAUGGACGCGAGUCUGAACCAGCCAAGUCGCGUGCAGGACGACGGCCCUAUGGGUUGUAAACUGCUUUUAUACGGGGGUAAAAAGGGGUACGUGUACCCUGUUGCAAGUACCGUAGAAUAAGCAUCGGCU
rnacentral:rRNA from 1 species